UGUCCUUCACGAAUCUUUUUGCGGUCUGGGCUUGCUGUUCAUUACUAUUAAUCUGGGAAGCCCUUACCCCAAAAAGCAUUUGCGGAGGGCG
rfam:Poecilia formosa, whole genome shotgun sequence.